CCUCCUGCUUAGGUCUAGCUGUGUUCCUGUGCUUCCUGAGGCCCUUUCUGAAAGAUCUGAAUGGAAGCCAGAGAAGUCAGGAAACUCACAAUUGCGUCUCCCGUGUGGGCCAGAAGCAGCACACCGGCCCCCCAGUCAACAGCUAUGGU
rnacentral:lncRNA from 1 species